rnacentral:lncRNA from 1 species
CCAUUUGUUUGGUACUCAUACUACACUUCUGCAGCCUGCAAUUAUAGUACGGGUUAUCACUGUUGAUAUGUGGAUCGUACGAAGCAGCCAUGGUUCACAGACUUAGAGUGAACUCCUGACGUUUGGAGUAUUUCUCAUCUCUCUCUUAUGUAUUAGACUAGACUCUAUAUUGUAUACAGAGAUAAGUUGUAUCAGUGUAAUUCUCUU